rnacentral:rRNA from 1 species
AUGUUAAGGCAAGCAUCAACUACAUAUACUCCACCAAUAUUCAAGAUGUUUCAGGAACAAGUGCUUCGGACCUUAAACUAUGAUACAUUCCUUUGUGAUGACAGUGACACCGAGGAGAAGGUUUACAAAGUAAAAUUUCAUGGUACAGAGCGUGAUCAUGUUGUUAAAAUUUUUCCAAAAGAAGAAAAGGUCAAUUGCAGUUGCAAGAAGUUUGAAUUUGCUGGAAUUCUUUGCUCUCAUUCCUUGAAGGUACUUGACAUUAAUAAUAUCAAGCACAUCCCUCAACAGUACAUCUUGAAAAGAUGGACAAUUGAUGCAAAAGUUUUGGAUAUAACAAGCAACUGCAACCUGCAUGAAGACCGCAAAACAAUACUGACAAAACGCUAUAAAGAGUUGUGCAGAAUGUUUAUCCAAAUAGCUGCUCGAGCCGCAGAGUCUGAAGAGUCAUACUUGAUGGCUGCUAAUUAUGCAGAGAAAUUAGCAGAAGAGGUGGAGAAAUGUCUAAAACAUAGAUCUGAUCCAGAUACAGGUAACUCUGUUUGUUCACAAGGUAUGUACAUUCAGUUUUAUGCUCUCAUCAAGCUUAAAUUUAUAUUUACUUUUAUAGUUGGAGACUCAAACAAUAUCACGACUACAAGUUCAGAACAAAAUGAGAGGCCUACCAAGCCAAAAGGAAUGAAGGUUAAGGAGAAGACGGCUCGAGGAUCAGACAGACAUCCAGAUAUAUGUAACUCCCUUGGCACAAGGUCUGUAAGUUUAGUUUUAUGA